AUCCAAGGAUCAAUUCUGGUUCCACCACCUUCAACACAAGUCUUCUUAGUUUCGAACAACAAAUUGUCCGGACAGAUCCCUCCGUCGAUUUGCAGUUUGAGUUCCCUUCAAUAUCUUUCCUUAUCUCACAACAACUUGAGUGGAACGAUUCCUUCAUGUCUUGGAAACUUUAGCACUGAGCUGAUUAUUCUGGACUUGAAGAACAACAGCCUUGAGGGUCACAUCCAUGAUACAUUUGCAAAUGCAAGUUCUUUAAGGAGUCUUGACCUUAAUAGCAACAAGUUGGAAGGGCCAUUACCAAGAUCUUUGGCGAAUUGUAGCGUCCUGCAAGUUGUCAAUGUGGGGAACAACAUGAUAACUUGAUAAGUGACACAUUUCAGUGUUGGUUGGGAUAUCUUCCGGUGCUAAAAAUUCUGGUCUUGAGAUCUAAUCGAUUCUAUGGUCCACUAUGCAAGUCCAAUAGUACGUUUACCUUUCAAGCCCUUCAAAUCAUUGAUCUCUCUCAUAAUGAAUUCACUGGUUUUCUGCCAAGAACGAUCUUUGUAAGUAUGGAAGCAAUGAAGAAUGUGGAGGAAAUGGAGUUUGGACCUCAAUAUAUUGGUGGUUUCUACUAUAAAGAUUCUGUAACUGUUGCAAUGAAAGGACGGGAUGUUCUACUGUACAAGAUCUUGAUAAUAUUUAGAGCUAUGGAUUUUUCAAGCAAUCGGUUCAAUGGAGAGAUUCCUGAAGUACUUGGAAACUUUAAAUCACUCAAAGUGCUCAACCUUUCACACAAUGGCCUGACAGGUAAUAUUCCGGUGUCCUUGGGGAUUAUGACAGCACUUGAAUCAUUGGACCUCUCUUUCAACAAGCUUCAUGGAAGAAUUCCAGAGCAGUUAUUAGGUGUUACAGACCUUGCAUCAUUAAAUCUUUCAUAUAACCGGCUUCGGGGACGCAUUCCUCGAGGCAAUCAAUUUAAUACAUUUGAUAAUGAUUCCUACGUUGGGAAUAUUCAUUUGUGUGGGGAGCCGUUGACAGUAACAUGUAGCAAUGACGGGCUGCCAAAAGCACCUCCUUCGGCUUCUACUGAUCACGAGGAAGAUGAAACUGCAAGCUGGUUUGACUGGAAAGUGGCGAAGCUGGGGUUUGCAUCUGGAGUGGUGAUUGGAUUGUCAAUUGGAUACAUAUUAUUGUCAAUAGGGAGACCACGAUGGUUAGUGAAGAUGGUUGAAAGAGAUCAGCAGAAGAAGGUAAGAAGACGAAGGCCAAGAGAUAGAAUGUAGAAGAAAAUACAAAUAACUGAAAUUAAGCUAUAGGCUAAGAUUAAGUUCUAGGUGUUUUUGCUGUUCAGUAAUAGUUGCUUUUUUUUUUUUUUUUUUUUUUAGUAGCAGAAUCAUUGGUCAUGUAUGACGAUUGUAUGUGAAAUUAUGUAUUAGCUUUUUAAUUAAAAAUCCUUCUUUCGGUUGUGUAAAUCACGGUAUGGCUAUCUACUGAAACCAAACCAUUUCUUGUGAUGCUUGCGGUUUAAAUCACAUGCUCCGUGCUUAUCUUACUACCAGGCUUGGUGAAACCGCUUAAUUAGUUAGUCAAGUGGAGCAAGUAAUUUGGAUAAGAUCUACAUGAAAGAACAGCCAUACAUGUGUGACUUAAAUGGUGGCAACAUUUAAUUGGCUACCCAUCAUUAUAAUUCAUGGGUUAGCUUCAUUUGUACUCACUUUCAAUCCGAGAUUAGUAAUAAUAUUUUCUAGCUUAUAUCAUUUAGCUUCUCAUACUUACUCUAAUCUUUAUUAUUUACAUCAAUUAUCAAAUACUUCCUGCCCAUUUUGUCCACAGUUAUAAUAUAUUAUCAACAUGAGAUUGCUCUGGUACUUGUAUCCUUUCCCUUUCUUAUUUUUCUGCUCGUUACAUGCAAAGACCAGUCUGUGGAAACCCUAAUUACAAAUAAAGUACACAAAUCCAUAAAUUAUCUUUGUUCCAUGAAAUUCAACAUAAAUAUACAUACAAAGAUGGAAAUCUUACUCCCUUUGGUGAGAAAUCGAACAUGUAUGUUUAAUUUAUAGACUUCUUUCACUCCAAAAACACACUCUCUCUCUACACUUUCCACCUUCAAAUUCACCUUCAACGGUCUUCCUAAAUGAAAUUAACGUUGAAAACACUCCAAAAUAACGCAUCAAAUCAAGUUUUAAAAGACCCAAACUUUAAUUUUUCAUAAACUCUAACCUUCGAAUUUUCCCCAUUUCAAUUCUUCUUCACCAAUAGCUUCUUUUUCCAAAACAAUGAAAAAUGCUUCUUCUUCUUCUUUUUUAAAUAAGUUAUCCACUUUCAAUUUACCCUCUUAUCAAAAAUAUUAUAAAAAUUUGAAUUUGUCCAAUUUUCCAACCUAAAAUUUGUAUUGUAUCAACCAUCCAUUAAACAAUUAAUUGCUAUUUAUAAUUGAUGAUGUCAAAAGGGUAAUUUAGACAUCUAACAUAAUAAAUAAAAAUUAAAAGAAAAAUGUCGGUCAUCUACCUUAAUUUUACUUUGUUAUUAAAAAUACCAUAAAAGUUUGAAUUUGUGUAUUUAUUAGUCAUUUACCUUAAGUUUAUUCUGUUAUCAAAAGUACUAUAAACGUUUGAAUUUGUUUAUUUUUCCACACUAAAGCUUGAAUUUAAUAGAAUCUAUGUAAAAUGACCAUUUUACCUUGAAUUCAAGGGCAUUUUUGGCUUUGCACCAUAAAUAAUAAAAUAAAAUAAAAAUCAAAACCCAUCAAACCUCGGAAACUCUUUGUUUCAAAACAAAAUCCACAGACAAUUUUGAUCCCUAACUAGAAUUUGUAUCAAACCCUUCGUCAAUGACAUAAAAUAAAAAUAAAAUAAAAUACAUCUCACUAUCUUCUUCCUUAUCUUCUCUGUCUAAAUUUUUAGAGUUUAUAAAAUCAACACAGAAAUUGUUCAAAUCUUUCAUCACCUACAUCCUCUAUCACUAGAUCCUUCAGCCAACUACUAUAAUAGACAAAAGUAUGCAUUGUGCUAUGAAGACCGGCUAAUGAGGAGUCUUGUGGUGGUUGCCGCUAUCCACGAGGUUGAGAGAAGAGGUAGUAGCAGCAACGAUCAACGGGAAUGGUGUCUAUGACACUAUAAAUUAGGUUUGAUUGGGUGUUUAUGAAAUCGAAUUUAAGUGUUGGAUUGAUUAGGUGUUUAUGAAUUAGGGUUUAGGGUAAUUUCUAGAUUAAGUUUGAUAUUCAAAUUUGUAAAGAUAAUUGAGAAGAUAAAUUAGAUUUUUUUUCAAUUAAAGAAGAAAUUAGAGUGUUAAGUGUAUUUAGUUGAAUAUUGGUUAUAUAAAAUGGAUUUUAUUUUUUUAUUUUAAACUAAUUUAUUUAACAUGUUAAAUGUCUAAAUUAAUCGUGUGACAUCAUCAAUUAUAAACGGCAGUUAACGUUUUGGGGAAUGAUUGAUAAUUUCUCAAAAUUCAAGGGUAAGAUGUACUUUUUACUUAGAAUUUGUUAAACAACAUAACAAUGUAAAUGUUUUGGUUGACGGAUGAUACAAAUUAUAAAUUUGGGGUAAAAUUUUAAAUAAAUUAAAACUCUUAUAAUAUUUUUGAUAAGAAGACAAAGUUAAAGUGAAUGACUAAUAAUAUCUUCUUCUUCUUUUUUAAUGCCUAAUAUGCAUAAAAUUAAUGCGCUUCGUUUUUAUUAGCCAAACCUAAUAGGCUUUUUGAAAGCCUUUGGCCCAUGAAAAUAAAAGAUUAAAAAGAAAGAGUGCAUAUGUUACAUUUGACAACUGCCUACUGACCUUUUUUUUUUUUUUUUUGAUGAGAAAAGUAAAGCUUUUCAAUUGAUGAACUUAGCAAGAGUACACCUGAUUUGUUCUGGAAAGUUUUCCAGCCAAAAGACUUGACUUUCAAAACCUAGAGCUAUCUUUGCAAUAGAAUGAGCAAUAGAGUUACAGCUUCUAGGGACAUAUGACAACGAGGAUAAAUUCUGAUUUUCCAAAUUUGCUUGAAUUUCUGUAAUUUUCCACUCAAUUUCAGUCUUGCUGAUCUUUUUCUUUAAGGAUAAAUCCACCACUUCCUUUGAAUCUGACUCAAUAAUUAUUGGGAAAACAGCUGCUUGUUGGGCACUUUGAAUACCAAACAGAACAGCUUCAGCCUCCAUACACGCCACAUCUCCCAUAUAUGGAGCUCCUUGGACUGCUGCAGCAACAACCUUACCCAUAGAGUUUCUAAUGACUACCCCCAACCCUGCCUUUUGGUUAGAAACAUUGAUUGCAGCAUCAACGUUGACUUUAUAACACCCUUUUGGAGGAUUUGCCCAUUCUAGUUGACUGAUUUUGCUGUGGCCUGGAGAAGUUUGCUCAUUUGGAAUUUUUAUUCGUCUGUAUGAUUCCACCAUAGCGAUUGCGCUGACCGCUGAUUUUUUUGGAUCUUCUUCCUUCCCCUCAAACACCAAAUGAUUUCUAGAGUACCAGAUGGCCCAGCACACCGCAACAACAAGCUCCAGCUCAUUCUUUUUUCUCUUCACAGCUAAAUCCUGCAGCACACUCAACAUGUCUUGCCGAGCUAUUUGCUUUACAUCCUCAUAAAAUUCAGUCAACUUCCAAACCCUUUUAGCUGCCCUGCACUCUAUUAAAGCAUGGAAAACAUCCUCUCCUCUGCAAUUACAUCUUUGGCAAAAAAGAUCCUUUACCACCCUCCUCCUCCAUAGAUUCCCAACUGUAGGGAGAAGAUUUUUAGCAGCCCUCCAAAUAAAAAUUUUGACUUUUUCUGGAAGAUCCGUAGCCCAUAUCACCUCCCACCUUGACUUGGUAGCAUCUAAGCAACUUGAAUAAUUUUGGAAUUUUAACUUAACAGCCAAUUGAUACCCACUCUUCACCGAGUAAAUUCCGUGCUUAUCAUAUUUCCAAAUGAGAAGAUCCUGCUGGGGAGUUUUUGGGAGUGGGGUUCUUGUGAUCCUCUCUACAACAUCCCUUGGAAAAUGCUGGAAAACCAUAUCUUCCUUCCAUUGGUGUCUUUCAUCAAUAAAAUCAGCAACUAUAGUUUUAGGGGGCAGUUCUGGAUAUGGAGCCAAACUGGGAAGCUGAUGGUUUUUUAUCCAAUUGCUACUGGAAAUUAAAACCUGGCUCUCAUUGCCGAUUCUCCAUCUUAGGCCUUUAUGGAGCACCUGUCUACCCCAUAAUAUACUUCUCCAAACAAAAGAGGGGUGUGAACCCAAUUUCGCAUCCAUAAAACCAGUAUGCUUAAAAUAUUUUGCUUUCAAGAUCUUUGCCAUUAAAGAAUCAGGGUGCUGCAGAAUUCUCCAUCCCUGCUUAGCAAUUAAGGCUUUGUUAAAACUAGAGAAAUCUCUAAAACCCAAUCCCCCCCUUAUCUUGGCGUGGCACAACCGUUCCCAUCUUGUCCAGUGAAUGUUUCUUUUAGUUUCAGAAGAACCCCACCAGAAACGAGCAAUGGCCUUCUCAAUGUCAUCACAAAAGCUAUGAGGGAUCUUAAAAACACUCAUUGCAUAGGCUGGCACAGCCUGAGCAACAGCUUUAAUCAACACUUCUUUGCCCCCACUAGAAAAAAAUUUUCUUUCCCAACUAGAUAACUUGUUCAAAAGUCUCAGUUUUAUAUCAUUGAAAAAGCUAGUCUUCUUCCUCCCCACCAUAGAAGGUAAACCAAGAUACUUUUCAUGUUUUGAGACCACAUUUAAAGCAAAAAUCCCUUUGAUUUCCUCCAUAUGGCUGCUGCUUGUAUUAGAGCUGAAGAACAUAGAGGAUUUUUCGUAAUUAAAAACUUGUCCAGAGGCUGCAGUGUAGCAAUCAAAAAGCCUCUUCAAAUUCUUGCAAUCAAAGCUAGAGGCUCUUGAGAAAAUCAGACUGUCGUCUGCAAAAAGAAGGUGGGUGACUGAAAUGUUUUUGCUGAAUCUCAGACCAUGGACAAGGUUUUGAUUUUCUGCAUGCACCAACAUAUUAGAAAAAACUUCAGCACACAUGAUAAAAAGGUAUGGUGAGAGGGGGCAGCCUUGUCUUAGCCCUCGUUGGGGAUGAAUUAGCCCUUUUGCCACUCCAUUUAUCAACACAGAAAAACUUACUGUGGAAAUACAGUUCAUAGCUAAAUUUAUCCAUUUUUUUAGGGAAGCCCAGCUUUUGCAUUACACCCUUAACAAAAUCCCACUCAAUGCGGUCAUAAGCUUUGCUUAUAUCUAGCUUUAAAGCUACCAAACCCUCCCUCUUUCCCUUACUCUGUCUGAUUUUGUUUAGGCACUCAUAUGCAAUGAUAACAUUAUCGGUGAUAAGUCUACUAGGGACAAAGGCACUUUGCAUUAGGGAAAUAAUGUCAUCUAAAAUUUGCUUAAGCCUAUUAGCCAUUGUCUUAGAAACAAUUCUAUAAAUGACAUUGCAGAGACUAAUUGACCGGAAUUCCGACACUUUCCUAGGCUUUUGGGUUUUUGGGAUCAAAGCAAUAAAAGUAUGGUUUAAGGGUGCUAGGUUACCUCCCUCGUUUAGAAUGUGUAAGCUUGUUUUGAAGACUCCCUCUUUAAAUGAGCUCCAGUGUUUCUGAAAAAAAGCUGCAGGGAGCCCGUCUGGACCUGGUGCUUUUGUAGGGCACAUUUGAGCAAGAGCUCCUUCUACUUCCUCUUAUGUGAAUGGUUGAUCCAUAAACUUUCUCAUAUCCUCUGUGAGCUUUGCUGGAACAGUUGCUAGGGCUGUAUUUAGUUGGCUCUGUGAAGGGUUUGUCGUGGUAAAAAUAUGUGUAAAGUAGUCACAAAUCAGUUGCUCCACUUUGUCAUCUUCUUCAAUCCACUUGCCAUUCUCAUCUUCCAGCCCACUGAUCCGGUUUUUUCUCUUCCGAACUAAGGCUUUUGCGUGAAAAAACUUCGUAUUUCUGUCUCCCUCUUGUAACCAAUCUACCCUUGAUCUUUGCUUCCAAAAAAUUUCUUCAUCUAUCAAAAUAUUGUCAAUCUGAUUUUCAAUCCUUUGCAUCUCUUCCCUGUUAUCAAAGUGGCUGAACUAAUUUUUCAUCUCUUUUAGCUUGUUUUUGAGCUGCUUCAGCUUCUUAUCUCUUCCAUUAAACUCUUGAUUGCUCCAAAUUUUUAAAUCAGCCAAGGAUUCCUUUGACUUUCUCCUGAACAACUCAACUGGGUUAUUCUUGGUCCAGCAACUCCCAUCCUUCCAUUCGUGCUUUACUAUCUCCCUACAUUUGUCGUACGAACUCCACAUAUCUUCGUAAUGGACUCUAUGAAAAGUUCUCCUCAUACACCGUUUACCCUUACCCUUUUCCAAAACCUCCAUCAAAAUUGGAGUGUGAUCAGAGCUCCAAGAGACAAGAUGCACAGCUGCUUUCUCCUGGAAGUAGUUUCCCCAGCUACUAUCACACAGAAACCGAUCCAACCUCUCCUCAAUUAUAUGGGAACCAGCCCUUUUAUUUGACCACGUGAAGGGGUAACCAGAGUAACCCAAAUCCUGUAACUCACAAUCUCUAAUUAUUUCCCUGAAAUCAUUAACCCUACUCACACUUUUUUCUUUCCCGCCAAGCUUCUCAUUUAAAUUCAGCACUUCAUUAAAAUCACCAAAGCAUAACCAAGGUAGCGAUGUUAAAGCAGCUAACCUUCUCAACAACUCUCAGGUGUGCCUUUUUUUGUCUGAUUCUGGGUGCCCGUAAAUCCCAGUGCAUCUCCUAUAGCUUCCAUUCUCACUAUGAACAACAGCAUCCACAUGGUGGUUGCUGAAGGAUUUUACCUCUAACGUUACCUUCGAAGUCCACAUCAUAACCAACCCACCUCCCAAACCUUUCCAACUGACUUCAAAGCAAUUUUGGAACUGUAAUCUUCUUGCUGUAUUUUUCAUUUGCUUAGGCAUCAUUUUUGUUUUGCAAAGAAACAAAAUUUGAGGCCUAUGCUCCUGCACCAUUUGCUGAGUUUCACGGAACGUUCCAACUGAUGAGUUUCAUGGUUGUCGGCGGGGUUGGCUCCCAGCCUCCGCCGAUGUCUUUUUCUCCUCAUUUUGAUCCUUCACCCAACCUGCACUUUCUUCGUUUUCAAAAUUCAACUUCGUUCCUAUUACAGGAACCUUCUGAUAGUGAGAUGGACGUUUUUCAGUUUGUGAGCUGCUAGUUUUGGUCUUUUUUUAUCGCGGGCUCUCCCAAUCCAUCGAACUAGCAAGCCUUUUUGAUUUGGGCAUCCCCUCUUUUGCCCCCACGAUGCCUUCCACACUUCAGGCUUGGAGUUUCCAUUUUCUUUUUUUGGGCUUUAUUUUGUCUUCUCUCGGCCCAUUGUCUACAUCCUCAAUUUCCGACUCCAUUUAUGGUGUCACCUCAAGUGUUUUUUGAAUUUCAUCUAUAGUUACUAAAGCCCCUUUACUAUCAUCAAUAACCCGCACAAAUUUUCCCGCUUUUUCCAAGCUGGAGAGCUGUCCAUUUUCCAAACUAUUGUUUUGAUUUCCUGCUUCCCUCUCUUUUUCUUUCCCGCCCAUACAUUCUGAUAUCAUAUCUCUUUCCCGAUGCACUGUGCCCUUGUCAGCUGCAUUCAUUUGUUCCUUACAGCUAGCUCCUAGCCCACCUUGCUUUGUAGCAUCAUGCAUUAAAUGCCCUUCUAUUGCCAUAUGGUCUCCAUUCUUGACAAUAUUCAAGUUAUCCAAACCCGGGUUAAUUUGGGCCCCGUCUGAUUCUUCUUCUUGACCCAAUUCUGCUGGUUUUCUCUGCCCUUCUGGUUCUCUAUUUCGCCCUAAGUCUGUUUUUGUGGGAGUUGAAAACCUUGUAUGGAACCCGCCUGAAUCUGUAUCCCAUCUAUCAUUUCUCCUGCUUUGUCUUAAUUUUUCCGUUAUGGUGAUUGCUCUGAGCCAUGGGCCAUAUGCUAGUUCAUCUUUUGAUUGAGAUAUGUAGUGGGCACAUUCCCUGUAUUGAUGGCCAAUCCUCCCACAGCAAAAGCAAAAGUCAGGCAGCCGCUCAUACAUUACCCUCAUAGGGAUAUCCUCUGCAUCUUCUUCAUCUUGUUCCAACUCAAUUAUCUUCUUCAAAGGCUUAGAGAUAUCCAUCGAGAUUCUCAAUCUUAAAAAUGGACCUAAGCAUUCCCCUGCAUCAUCUGUGUCUACUUCUUCUACCUUGCCAAUCACUGCCCCCAAUUGUGUUGCCACCUCCUUGGACAUACACAUAAUAGGCACAUCAUGUAUUUGUACCCAGAAAGAAACUUGACUGAAACUUUGCUUCUUGAUGUCCCAUAUUCCAACCGGUUCAACAAGCACAAUAAGAGCUCUAUCGAAAUGCCACGGACCGCCCACCAGGAUACUUCGUUUAUCCACCUCAUAUCCGAAUUUGAACAUGAAAACAUUAUCGCCAAGCUUCUCAAUUUUUACCUCACGUGAGGUUUUCCACACCCUGCUCAUUGCUAACUUCAAUCCUUCUAUACUCACUUCCCUCGUAUGAAGAACUUUACCAAUCAGACAACCUGCCACGAUCUUCUCCCCUUUUGCUUUCAUACUCCUCUUGAAGGAAAAUCUCCCUUCUUCCUCGUCACUUAACUUUAUCGCUCUACAUCUUUUGAUUAAAUCCUCUGCAUCUAUCUGUUUUUUUGAAAAAAACGCAAACAAUAAUGACCGAAAUUGUUUGUUGACCAGUCGCUAUAACUACUCCAACCAACCAAACAAAACAAAUGGAGACUUUAAUGCUGAAAAUCAAUAAAGACUGCUAUCAGGGAACUUUAAAAAAACAAUCGAACAAGGGAACUAAAACACUCACUCGCUGGAGUGAAAGUCAUGACGACUCUAUACUUUCUCUCAUCCUUAGUUGUUUUCAGAGAAAACUCGUAAGGAAAGAGACUGCUUUGAUUGACUGCCUACUGACCUUAAUAGCAGCAAUACCAUCAAACCACCUAAAUCGCGUCAUGUGUCGUUAAUUUGAUAUCAGACGGAAAUAAUAAAAGUGUCCUGAUAACACUUUGAUUCGUAACGGAAACAAGGCCUUCGACCAUUGGAUAAGUGCAACGCACUCAAGUGAUUUCAUUAAAUGUCACGUGAGAAUAAAAUAAAAUCGGAACAAAUAUCAGAAACGGUUCACAACGAAGAUUAAACCAAAUCUCUAACAAAAUCACGUGCUAACAAAGGACAUGAAACAUAAAUUAGUUACAAGAUGCAUAGUUACCAUUGUCUUGGGAUUGAACGAGCGACUUUAGAUCUAAUCUCCCACCAUAACUGAGGUUCUUUAUUUAUAAAUAGAGGAUAUAUUUUCAUGGUGCAUUCAUUAAUUGAUAAUUGGAAUGGGUUAAAAUUUAAUAAUUAAUCAAAAUAAGUUGUUUACUUAAGAUAUAGAAAUCAAAAUUGGAACGAACUGUACUCUCAUUCAUGUGUUUAUUUUAUUUUGAAAUUGAAAUAAACUGUUAUAAGUUACUAAUAUAUUCUUUGUUAAUUGUUGCACUUAGUAUUAUUUGCAUCUAUUAUAAUAAUAACAAUAACAAGAAUAAAAAAAAUAAAAAAAUGAAUAAUAAUAAUAAUGUUAAGAGUAAUAAAUACAAUGAUGAUGAUGAUAAUUAAUAAAACUUACAAUCCACCUAAAAUAUACAUAAAUGAGUAAAAUGGUAGUGGAACCCACCUGAUUUUUGCAUUAUUUUAGUUGGGCUGUAAGUUAUAUUAAUUGUAACUUAGCAAAACCGUAAUAAUAAUAAUAAAUAUUGAGGGGAUGUAUUUGCAAAUAUUACAAAUUUUCUAAGCAUUUUCAUAAAUUCUGUAAGGAUCAAAAUGUAAAAGAAAUAGUACUUGGUUGAGGUAAUUUGGAGAUUAUGGAAGUUUAAUGGGAGCAAAAUGGUAGUUCUGGGAACGGGAAUUUCAUUCUCAAUCCCCUUGAGAAUCAAGUUCCUAUUCUCAAAUUGCAAAAUUUGUGGAUUCCACAUACUUGAUUUUCAUUCCCCCUUCUCUUUUAAUUAGUAAAUACUCUCAAUUAUUUUGAUUCUAAAUUUCAAUUUUCCCAAUUUUAAAGUAAACUCACGAUUAGAUACUUGUCCAUAUGAUAUGUAAUGUCAAAUAUAAAAAUAUCCUACUCUUUGGAUUUGCUUGAAUCGAGAUUGCUCUUUUAAGUCCAUACUGUGAAACAAGGUCAAAAACAAAACCAUUAAUGUGAACGAACACCUUUUAGUAACAGAAUUAAAAAAAAAAAAUGGAACUUAACUCGUUCAUCCGGUUAUCCACUACUUUUUUCUAUUUUUCCCAUUAAUCCUUGCAUCCGUUGGAUUUCAGUCAACAAAUGAUAUUGGCCGGCUGAAAGAUAAUUCGUGAAACUCAGCCGCGGCCGUCUUUCGUAUUUAUUCCAUCGUAUGCUUUCUUUCACGCCAUUUGGAGGAUAAUGCAUUUCAUGGAUUUUUUUUUUAAAUUUUUGUCCAUUGCAUUCCAUUUCAUGCAUUUCAGAAAAUGUUAAAUGUAUCAUUUGAAUCAAUCUUUGACCAACUCGCAACACGCCCGGCCCGGAAAUGAAACAUAAAAGCUAAAGAUACAGUCCUUGGAAUUCAUAUAAACACUCAUCCACCUACCUCUCAACAAUUAGACAUAUGAUAAGUAAUUGUCACGUUUCUUUGCAUUAAUUCUUAGAAACCAUGGAGAGGUUCAUAUGGCAUUAUAACCAAGUCUCCUGCACUCUCUUAUUCUUCUACUUCCUUUUGCUUGGUUCUAGUUUUCAAUUUGAUUGUUCAUCACCUUUCCAUCACUUUUCUUUUAAAACAACUCAUUCCUGCCCUCCCGAACAAAGUUUGGCUUUGCUUCAAUUUAAAAAUAACACUUACGUCAGAUCAGCGAAUUACUCUUUUUGCAAUGAAGAAAAUUCUUCUCCUAAGACGAACUCUUGGACGGAGGGUACCGAUUGUUGCUCAUGGGAUGGAGUAACGUGUGAUAAUGUGACUGGAAACGUGAUCGGCCUCGACCUUUAUAGCAACUGCAGUUGGCUUUUAGGUACCAUCGAUGACAAUAGCACCCUCUUUCAUCUUUCCCGUCUCCAAUCCCUCAACCCUACUUAUAGCAAUUUCCUCGGUUCUCAACUCUCUCCGGAGUUUGGACGGCUGAAGGAAUUGACAUAUCUUAACCUCUCGGCUUCUAAUUUUGGUGGUCUAGUCCCUCAUGAAAUGUCCCACUUGUCCAAACUAACUCAUCUUGACCUUUCCUUCUGUGUCUUGACAAUCGAACAAAGAACUUUUGAUCUGCUUGCGAGUAACCUUACAAAGUUAAGUCUUCUCCAUCUGGGAGCGACAAACAUGUCUUUGAUCAAACCUUUUUCUCUGUUAAACUUGUCUUCAACAAUGACGGAUCUCGAUCUGGGUGGUACUAGGAUUAAAGGAUAUUUCCCAGAUCACAUUUUUCGUCUUCCAAAUCUUCAAAUACUCUUUUUAAACCUAAACAGUCAACUCACAGGCUAUCUCCCGAAGUCUAAUUGGAGUAGUCCUCUUAGGGAGUUGGAUCUUUCUCUCAGUAAUUUCUUAGGUGAAAUACCAUAUUCAAUUGGAAAUCUAUUUUUCUUGGAGGUUUUAGAUAUUGGAUUCUGCAAUUUCACUGGGUCAAUUCCAACAUCAAUCGGAAACCUUACCAGAGCUACUGAAAUUGCGUUCGCAUCAAAUCAUUUUACGGGCCAACUGCCUCGUCAUGUAAGUGGAUUGUCUUAUUUAACCACUUUCGACCUUUCUGGAAACUAUUUCCAAGGGGGAGUACCAUCUUGGUUGUUCACUCUGCCUUCCUUGCUUUCUAUAGAUCUUUCAAAGAACAUGCUUAAUGGUCCUAUUGAUCUAUUCCAGUUGCCUAAUUCACUACAAGAUGUUCGUUUGGAAGAAAAUGAGAUCUGUGGUACAAUUCCUAAUUCCAUCUUUCAAUUAGUGAACCUCACUAUUCUCGAUCUUUCAUCAAAUAAUUUGAGUGGCGCAAUCAGAUUCGACCAGUUCUCAAAGUUAAAAAAGCUUCAAUUUCUUGAUCUUUCAAAUAACAGCCUACUUUCAUUUACCUCUUCUGCCAAUAUCAGUAUCAAAUAUUCAUUACCUAGUCUUAAGGUAUUGCGUUUCGCUUAUUGCAAUAUCACUGAGUUCCCAGGUUUCUUGAAAAACUCAGAAAAUUUAAGAGUCUUAGAGCUCUCUAACAGCAGAAUUCAUGGUCGGAUUUCAAAAUAUGAUUCUCAAGGAUGGAAGAGUUUGACCGUCCUUGUUCUUUCCAACAAUUUUUUGACACAUAUAGAGCUACAUCCACGGAUGAAUAUCACCACCCUUGAUCUGCGAAACAACAAAAUCCAAGGAUCAAUUCUGGUUCCACCACCUUCAACUGAAGUCUUCUUAGUUUCAAACAAUAAAUUGUCCGGACAGAUCCCUCCAUCUAUUUGUAGCUUGAGUUCCCUUCAAUAUCUUUCCUUAUCUGACAACAAUUUGAGCGGAACAAUUCCACCAUGUCUUGGAAACUUUAGCAGUGAGCUGGUUAUUCUGCACUUGAAGAACAACAGCCUUGAGGGUCACAUCCAUGAUACU
rnacentral:lncRNA from 1 species